AGAAGAGUCCAGAGGCCUGAGGAAGUUUUGGAUAUACCCAUUUGAGUGGAGCUUUGAUGGUUGAUAAGAGGCCGCCAAGUAGAGGAGGUGGGAUGGAUACUCAAGUAGAAUGAACGGAAUGAACAGCUAGUACCCCAGCACAGACCAGGACAAAAAAAGAAAAAAAAAAAACAAAUUCUGUGGAACUGUGUCAACUCUGACCACUUCAGGAUAUUCUUCAAGUGUAAUAACUGAUGCCUGCUCUGUGCCAAGUGAUAGUCUAGGUGUUUAAAUUGUGUUAGUCCAUUUAAUCUUCAAAAUAAACCUAUGAGGUUAGUUCUGUUAUUAUUCCCAUUUUACGUUGUGGAAUCUGAGACACCAAGAAAUUAAAGAACUUUCCUAAGUCCACAUGUAGCAUGUAGUAGAAUAAGGCCAUCUGACCCCAGAGGCUGUGUGCCACAUCACCAUGUUAUAUUGCCUUCUACCAUGUUCUUCCAAGAGCUUGUUGAAUGGGAAGUGUUUAUUUAUGCGGCUUCCUUUUACAGGCAUGUUAUUCCAAGUGUCUGUUGAGGAACCAGAAGUAUUUAUUCAUGCACCUUCCUUUUGCAGGCAACCAAUGUGCUUUGGUAAUCAUAAACCGCUAUAUUUUAAUAGCACUUCACAAACUCCCCUGGGGAGAAAAGGAACAGGCUGACCCAAAACGGAAGAGGAACCCUAAAAGGUGGAAGGAAGAAGGCUGAAAACAAGCUUCACUCUGAAUUUAGUUAUAGAGCAGAAUACCCUGUUGGGACGGGAAGUGAUGAAGGCCAUCAUGCUUCAUUAAAUCUAGAAGGGCAGAUUGUGCCCAAAAUCAUGGAAUGCAAGAUUCAGACAAAACUGUGUCUCAUUCACUGAGAUUAAAGUGCCAGCUUUUAGAAAAGGAAGACAAAAGAUCCUACCAGGGUUCAGAUGAAAGAAUUGAAGCGAAAAAUGUCAAGCAGCCUGCCCAAAGCCACAUGACUGGGCAGUGACAAAGCAUUGCCUCAAACCCCAUCUCCUGUGAGUCCAACUGUCUCUCCACUUCCUUAAAGCACCUGUGUGGGAAGCAUGAGUUGAAUCAUCAUCCUUGUCAACAAUAUCCUUGAGUUUGGCAUUAUCAUUGGUGUCAGAGACAGAGUUUUUUUCAGUCUCUCAUUUGUGAUUCCACAACCUAAGGGAAAACCGGGAGAAAGCUCAAGAUGGCCACCCAUCUUACCAGACGGAAGAGGGAAAUGGUGUUUCCGGUAAUGUUGUAGUGGGUCAGAACCUCAGAACUGGUGCUGAUUCCAAAUGACACAUCUUGGAAUUUCUGCACCAUGCUGCGAAAUACAGACACUGCUGGUAUUUCCAGAUUCUAAAAACCAGAGAAAAAAUAAAAGCACAGAGGUUGUUGUGGAGGGGAGAGACACAAACAGAAACAGAAUAGGGGAGAGAAAUGUGCUCGCUCAUACCAGAAAGCACAGACUUGAUUUGGUGUUCAGUGAAACAACACUUACAUCUCUAUUGCAGGCUAAAUUUGCAGUGGCAUUCCUGAAUUUUCCAGGCUGUGUGAAUUAAUAUAUAAGUACCAAAAUAGCGGCCAAGCCUGGGACUCCUGUCUGAGUUUACCAUAGAACUUGCAGUUCACCAGUAGCUGAGAGGGACCUCAAAGUCAAGAGGCCUGGAGAAUUGGACUGCACUGUCACUGAUGUGCCUAAGGUGGCAGAUUUUUGGGGAGCAAGUUGUAGUGGAAUGAAGAAAUGCAAAAAUAAGAAACAGGGGCUGUCAAAAAGGGCCAUAAAAGGAAGGAUAAACAAAAUGAAGAAAUGGAAGCUUAAAGUCUUAUUAACAAGGGUUUGUUUGGGAUGUGCAGGAAUAGUCUCUUUUUUUUCUACUGUACAUAAAUCUGAGGGAUCAUCCAUGGACAUACUGUUCACCCAUUGCCCAGACUCAACAACCCAGGCUUGUCAGAAGGAGCAGGGAAUCCACUUUUGCAUGGUGAUUUCAGUCCUUAUGGAGGAGCUGGGCAUCAUUGUCCCUGCUGUAACAGGAACUUUGCCCACAGCUGUAGGCAAUAAGUGGGAGGGAACAUAUUCUUUCCUGACAUCUCUCUGGGCUGAAGCAGAAGAUAUGCCAAGAGGAAAGAAGAUGGCUAGCCUUGCAUCAGAGUCCCUGAGUUGUGCAAAUAGUUAAUGUGCUCAGCUGCUAACCAAAAGCUUGAAUAUUUGAGUCCAUCCAGAGGUGCCUCAGAUGAAAGGCCUGGCUCUCUGCUUCCAAAAAAUCAGCCAGCGAAAACCCUGUGGAACACAGUUCUACUCUGACACGUAUGGGGUUGCCAGGUGUCGGAACUGACUCCUUGAAAACUGUUAAAAAGUCUUGUGUCCAAGGUGAAGCAGGCUUCCUUGCUCAUCUAAAAGCAAGGAGUGUGUGGAGUUCGUUUGAGGCUAUGAACAAUUGUUAAUCAAGGCUUCCUUUUUUUUUUUUUUUAUUCUGUUCUUUCAAAUGGAAUUGUUCACGGAUCAAAUGAUGGCAUCUGGUGGCUAUUUAAAUUAUUGCAGACUCGUCCUAUCACACCUUCUUGCCUUUCAGAGGGUGGUUGUUUUGUCUAUGGCUCAGAUGGCUCAUCACUGAAAAAUGUGCUCCCAGUCUCCCUACCCAACUUGCAUCUCAAAGCAGCUAUUUCCAGCUGUGUACACAGAAUCAAUGGCGGAUGGUGAGCUGGAAUUAAUGAAUAGAAACAGACAAGGACUUCAAUGAGGGAAUAUGGGCUUGAUCAGCUGAGAGAAGGACUGCCAGAUGCUACCAUAAGGGAAAGCAGAAUAUGAGGAAAUGACACUCUGUCUUCAUAGUUGCCCUUAUUAACCGUGCAGCCAGUCUGGGAGAUGGAGGAUAGUACCUUCAAUAUAUAAAAUGUCAUCCUUUUUCAACAUUUCAGAGCAAGCAAAAAGAAAAAGGGACAACCUAUUUGGCAGGAGACUGCUGGCUAAUGCUUGAGAGGCUUUGGCACACCAUGAGAAGUGUUGCCUGAAUGAUAAAAGUUGGCUCACCCUGGCAUAUCCAGAUACUGAUUUAAGCUUCAAAAAAAUCCAUAGAUGAGGAGCCUCAAGUAUCAGCCUCAGAGGUCUUGAAGAAAGUACAAAAAAGACAAUCCAGAAACUGAGAAUGUCCUUAAAUAGAGAGGACUUCAUUGGCAAGCCAAAAGCGGCUCUGUGCUAAUGUACCUUUGCCCAGCUGCUUCUAAUGAGGCACCAUCUGGUCAGCAAGUGACUGUCAAUGCUCCCUUGAGAUAGAACAUUCUAGCUGUUUGAGGGACUAGCAAGUGGGGCAUCUGGACAAACCUGGAAGAAGCCUAUGAUGGCCACCUCAGCAGCAGCGAUGAAUUCCUCAGCAGCUGGGACAUCUGUGAGCCACGCAGGCUCUUGGGAAGCACUGGGGCCAUCUAGAGAGAGAAAAAAGAGUGAAGGAGAAGCAGAAGGUACCAGAGUGCUGAGGGGAAAAGAAACAGGUCUAAGUAAUGAGGAGCCAGUGCCUUUCUCCCCCAUCCUAAGGCCAAGGAGAUCAGUUUCUAAGGGUGCAGCUAUCCCUCCAUGCUUUUGUGUUUUGCUAACGUAUGGAGGUUCGCCUGUCUCUGAAGGGUAAUUCCAGUCUUCCCUCCUUUCCACUAGGCAAUGUAGGUCUUUAUUUAGCAUUUCCUGGAAUAUUUUCUAGUUUGGGAGCAAAAAUGUCCAGAGUACUGCCAUCUUCCUCCCCUCCCCGCUUCUCCUAACAGCACUCUCACCCAGUGGUCACCCAACUGCUAUUUUCUCUUACCUGAGGAUUCCUGAACUUCUGCAGCAACUUUUGGAGGCAGCCCACAGGUGAGGAGAAAUAAGAGAAACAGGCAAGUGGACUGGGCAGCCUCCAUGUCCUUCUCCUGCUCCUUCCUCAAGCCCUGGACUUUGUGUUUGGGACUCGGGGCAGCCACUCUGUAGUUAAUUGGCCUUGAUGUUGUUCGUGCUCUGGGAACUUUGCAGCUGACUCUAGGGGAAACUUCAACUUCUGAGAUAAAAGACCAAGUUCAGUGACAGGGCCUCAGGAUAUAACCAACCAUAUGAAAGUCGAGCCAGCUCAUUUAAAUGGAAACCUUUUCAGUAUCAUAUGCCAAGUAUUGACCUAAGCACUAGGGAUACUAAGAUAACUAUGAUCUGAUAUAGCCUCUCCCAGCGUAGAUUUUUAGUGGAAGAGGCAGACAAACAAACAGAUUAUGUAAUUAUAAAAUGUAAAGACGUAAAAAAUACAGAAGCUCAUAGAGUGCUAUGAGACAACGGACAAAAUGCAUUUAGGAGAAUUGUGGGGUUUAGUGAACGCUUUCUUCCUACAGGGGAUACCCAAGCAGAGUUCCAGGGAAAUAAGAUUUUUCCAGGCAACAAAAGGUGGAAGGGAGUUUUACGUGAAGAGCCUAGCCAAAGCUUAGAGAUGCCAAUGUAACCUGUGAGAGAAUUCUACGUGAUUCAGCAUUACAAAAAGGAAGGGAACGGUGAAAGGUACCAGAAAGGCACCCUGGGGCCAGAUCACAGCAGGCCUUGUAUGCUAAGCAUAGGAGCUUCAACUUCAUUUUGUAGGUUAAGGGAACCUACUGAGAAGUCUGAAGCAGGAGAGAGACAAUAUGUGAUUUGGCCCACAGGUGCAUGUGGAAAAUCUAAGACAAGAUUCCCUGUAGGUAGUGGAAUUUAUAGGUUUCAAACUUAGGAGAAACCUCUCCAUGAUAACACUGAAAAAAAAAGAAAAUGAGAUUUUCCGCCAUUCAUAUCCUGAAUGCUCACUGCCCAUUGCACUGGAAAGGGGGACUGAUAUGUUCUCAACAAUGAAACUCCCUCUUCUACUGUGUUUCCCCCACUCUCAACCCCUCUAGGGGACUCAUGAAUGUGAACCAUCCAGUUACCAUGUUUGAAGGCAGAGAGCAGAGAAAUGAGGGUCUCAGUCAGAAUAUAUACUUAUUGUUUUAUUCUUACUGUCUUGUGCUGUUUACAGUGUCUCCCACAAAAGAAGAGCCCUGACUGACAGAGAACAUGAUUAGGGACCUUCCUUGAGCCAGCAGCAACCACAAAAGAAUGCAGGGAUGGGAAGGAGCCGCUGGAACCUAAGGCAAAAGGGUUGUUAGUGAGUUUGUCCAUUUCCUGGCCUCUAGUUGCUCGAAUGGAAACCCUGGUGGUGUAGUGGUUAAGUGCCACAGCCGCUAACCAAAAAAACGUGGAGAGUUUGAAUCCACCAGGUGCUCCUUGGAAACCCCAUGGGGUAGUUCUGCUCUGUCCUAUAGGGUCACUAUGAGUCAGAAUUGACUCAGUGGCACUGGGUUUGAUUUUUUGGUUUUAGUUGCUCUAAUGGGAUUAAGAAAGGAGAACAUUAAAUGUGUACUGAGAUGGAGAACUUUGGGCAGGGUUUAAGCCUGGGUUUUAAGCCUCUUGUGCUAGGGAGUGCUUUGUGAGGUGGUGUGGGAUAAGAUGCUUCAAUAAGAUAAUAAGGGGAGCAUUGGGAAAGGGCCCAGCUGUGAACCAUGAGGAGG